GAUGAACGCUGACAGAAUGCUUAACACAUGCAAGUCUACUUGAUCCUUCGGGUGAUGGUGGCGGACGGGUGAGUAACGCGUAAAGAACUUGCCUUGCAGUCUGGGACAACAUUUGGAAACGAAUGCUAAUACCGGAUAUUAUGUGAGUUUCGCAUGAAAUUCAUAUGAAAGUUAUAUGCGCUGCAGGAGAGCUUUGCGUCCUAUUAGCUAGUUGGUGAGGUAACGGCUCACCAAGGCGAUGAUAGGUAGCCGGCCUGAGAGGGUGAACGGCCACAAGGGGACUGAGACACGGCCCUUACUCCUACGGGAGGCAGCAGUGGGGAAUAUUGGACAAUGGACCAAAAGUCUGAUCCAGCAAUUCUGUGUGCACGAUGAAGUUUUUCGGAAUGUAAAGUGCUUUCAGUUGGGACGAAGUAAGUGACGGUACCAAUAGAAGAAGCGACGGCUAAAUACGUGCCAGCAGCCGCGGUAAUACGUAUGUCGCAAGCGUUAUCCGGAUUUAUUGGGCGUAAAGCGCGUCUAGGCGGUUUGGUAAGUCUGAUGUGAAAAUGCGGGGCUUAACUCCGUAUUGCGUUGGAAACUGCCAAACUAGAGUACUGGAGAGGUGGGCGGAACUACAAGUGUAGAGGUGAAAUUCGUAGAUAUUUGUAGGAAUGCCGAUGGGGAAGCCAGCCCACUGGACAGAUACUGACGCUAAAGCGCGAAAGCGUGGGUAGCAAACAGG
rnacentral:rRNA from 1 species